rnacentral:ribozyme from 13 species
AAUAUUGUGCAAAUACCAAGAAUCAGGAUAAAAAGGGUCAUUGAAAAAGGACCCCCCCAAAAAAAAGAGAGCAAAGAAAAAAAGUUCUUGCAAGAAGAAGACACUUCUUCUUCUUCUUUCCAUUUUCUUUCUUUUCUUUCUUUUCUUUCUUUCGUUCUUCUUCUUCCAAAAAAAAGAUAUCACUCAAAAC